AACGAACGCUGGCGGCGUGCCUAACACAUGCAAGUCGAGCGCCGUAGCAAUACGGAGCGGCAGACGGGAGAGUAACACGUGGGAACGUGCCCUUCAGUUCGGAACAACCCAGGGAAACUUGGGCUAAUACCGGAUACGCCCUUACGGGGAAAGAUUUAUCGCUGAAGGAUCGGCCCGCGUCUGAUUAGCUUGUUGGUGAGGUAACGGCUCACCAAGGCUACGAUCAGUAGCUGGUCUGAGAGGAUGAUCAGCCUCACUGGGACUGAGACACGGCCCAGACUCCUACGGGAGGCAGCAGUGGGGAAUCUUGGACAAUGGGCGCAAGCCUGAUCCAGCCAUGCCGCGUGGGUGAUGAAGGCCCUAGGGUUGUAAAGCCCUUUCGGCGGGGAAGAUAAUGACGGUACCCGCAGAAGAAGCCCCGGCUAACUUCGUGCCAGCCGCCGCUGUAACAC
rnacentral:rRNA from 1 species